rnacentral:other from 1 species
CAGGAAGGAAUUCCGGAGAAUUCCAGGAAGGAAUUCCGGAGAAUUCCAGGAAGGAAUUCCGGAGAAUUCCAGGAAGGAAUUCCGGAGAAUUCCAGGAAGGAAUUCCGGAGAAUUCCAGGAAGGAAUUCCGGAGAAUUCCAGGAAGGAAUUCCGGAGAAUUCCAGGAAGGAAUUCCGGAGAAUUCCAGGAAGGAAUUCCGGAGAAUUCCAGGAAGGAAUUCCGGAGAAUUCCAGGAAGGAAUUCCGGAGAAUUCCAGGAAGGAAUUCCGGUU